GAUGAACGCUGGCGGCGUGCCUAAUACAUGCAAGUCGAGCGAAUGGAUUAAGAGCUUGCUCUUAUGAAGUUAGCGGCGGACGGGUGAGUAACACGUGGGUAACCUGCCCAUAAGACUGGGAUAACUCCGGGAAACCGGGGCUAAUACCGGAUAACAUUUUGAACCGCAUGGUUCGAAAUUGAAAGGCGGCUUCGGCUGUCACUUAUGGAUGGACCCGCGUCGCAUUAGCUAGUUGGUGAGGUAACGGCUCACCAAGGCAACGAUGCGUAGCCGCCCUGAGAGGGUGAUCGGACACACUGGGACUGGGACACGGCACAGACUCCAACGGGAGGCAGCAGUAGGGAAUCUUCCGCGAUGGACGAAGGUCUGACGGAGCAGCGCCGCGUGAGUGAUGAAGGCUUUCGGGUCGUAAAACUCUGUUGUUAGGGAAGAACAAGUGCUAGUUGAAUAAGCUGGCACCUUGACGGUACCUAACCAGAAAGCCACGGCUAACUACGUGCCAGCCGCCGCCGUAA
rnacentral:rRNA from 1 species